rnacentral:lncRNA from 13 species
AUGCAUGCACCUGGUUUUCGGCACAGUCACUCCUCCAUUCAUGCAUAUAUGUCUGAAUUCAUUCUUACGUGCAUUGGCUCAUUCAUGCCGUCAACUCACGCAUUCACCUGUGAAUGCAUUCAUUCCCUCCCUGGCGCAGACACUAAUGGUUCAUCCAUUUCCUCGCUCGCUCAUUCACGUGUAGUUGUCCAUUCACGCCUCACAUGCAUUCACACACACGCGGCCUCCACUCAUCCAUGCAUAGACACCGCGUGCAGACAGCCAGUCACUCACUCACUACGCAUGCAACAGCCGAGGCCUGAACACUCAGUUAUUCUCUUUUCAUGCACUCAUUCAUUCAUUCAUUCAGGCAUGCAAGUAUGCACACGUGCAUUUUUCAUGCAUUCAGUGAGAUCGGGUACGAGCCCUGCCUUCUCCCUCCGGGAUACUACCAGAGGAGCGGCCUCCACCCGGGCUGCGCGCUGGCCUUGGGCCCAGGGCCUUAAGCCAUCGCAAACAUUUACUUCGGGGCCGGCUGAUGGAAGGUUAAAUGUCCAAACCGGGAAACCGCGGGCUGCAGUGGGGGCGGGGCGCGGCACGGGGCGCAGCCCCCGGCCGUUACCGGGUGUCUCUCCCCGGCAGCCCCGGCUGGGCACCAGGCGGCGCGCGGGCUUGUUUGCGGGCGGGGGCUGCAGCUGGGCGGAGACGACCCACGCCCGCGGGGGUGGGCGGAGGCGGUGCCGGGCUUCCGGACAGAAGCCAAUCGAUGCCCUCGGAGGCAUCGGCGCCUCCAGCGCCUGCCCAGGGCAGAGGAUGCCGGAGCUUGGAAGAGGUGCCGGAGGCUGCCGGGGGGUGCAGGGGGCCGUAUGUCGCGGAAGAAGCCUGGGUGCAGGGGACCGCCAGGGUGCGCAGAGGCUGCUCCAACACCUAGAGGCCUGGAAAUCCACGCGGGUUCCUGGAGACGGCGCCUCUGCUCUGCGGGUUCGUGGUGGGGAAGUCUACCCACUGCUCCCCGGCGUCCACUGCACGCGGCCCGGAGGACCAUGUCGGGUGAGUAGCUCAAGCUCCUUCAGUUCGGCCUGCCUGUUCCUGCCGGCUUGGGUGAGAUUGGUCUGCGCUGCGGAGAAACCCAGUUUGACCCAGGACUGCCCCAAAUCCGAGUCUCCCCUCAUUGCCUCACCCAGGUCUCUGUGGGUCUGGAGGGACUGGUCCAUCCGACGCUGCUGGAAAUACCGGUGGGCUUCAGCUGCUGGGAGGGGGUGAUUGGUAGCAAGUGAGGGUGGCGUUGGGAUUUCACCAGUUCCAUUUGUAAGAUGUAGUCCUGGAAGUUUCACUGGGCUCGUUUCUUGGGAAUAGCAUUGAACUGUCUGAGAUUCUCACUGCGUGGAAGGCCGAUGGGAAGAAGUCUGUUCUCCUAAAAUGGCCCUAAAACUCUGGGAAGAGGCGGUCUUCCGGUACUUGGAGUCCAGGCCAUCGGUUUAAUUUCCGUGCCCAGCACAGAUGCAGGGAUGGCCUGGCUUGGUGUCUCGGGCCUGUAACCCCAGCACUGUGGGAAGCUGAGGCAGCAGGAUCGCUUGA